UACGUAGGGGGCAAGCGUUGUCCGGAUUUAUUGGGCGUAAAGAGCGUGUAGGCGGUUUGGUAGGUCCGCUGUGAAAACUCGAGGCUCAACCUCGAGACGCCGGUGGAAACCAUCAGACUAGAGUCCGGAAGAGGAGAGUGGAAUUCCUGGUGUAGCGGUGAAAUGCGCAGAUAUCAGGAAGAACGCCCGUGGCUAAGGAGGCUCUCUAGUACGGUACUGACGCUGAGACGCGAAAGCGUGGGGAGCGAACAGG
rnacentral:rRNA from 1 species